rnacentral:rRNA from 1 species
AUUGAACGCUGGCGGCAGGCCUAACACAUGCAAGUCGAACGAGUGGCGGACGGGUGAGUAAUGUAUGGGAAACUGCCUGAUGGAGGGGGAUAACUACUGGAAACGGUAGCUAAUACCGCAUACCAUCAGAUGUGCCCAGAUGGGAUUAGCUAGUUGGUGGGGUAACGGCUCACCAAGACGACGAUCCCUAGCUGGUCUGAGAGGAUGACCAGCAACACUGGAACUGAGAGACGGUCCAGACUCCUACGGGAGGCAGCAGUGGGGAAUAUUGCACAAGGGGCGCAAGCCUGAGGCAGCCAUGCCGCGUGUAUGAAGAAGGCCUUCGGGUUGUAAAGUUCUUUCAGCAGGGAGGCGUUACCCGCAGAAGAAGCACCGGCUAACUCCGUGCCAGCAGCCGCGGUAAUUC